UAAGCAGAUACAGGGGCCAUCAUUACUCAGAAGUCGCAUUAACAAUGCUGUCUUACCUUAGGAUUUCCAGACACAGAAAAAAUACCAUUAUUCCAGACAUGAAGGGCAGUGAUACAGUGUUUUUUAUUACAGGCUUCUAGGACUGCCAAGGCUGAUACCAUCUGUGUCUGACAGAAGGAAUCUUCCGUGAUGAUCUGUCCUUCUGUGACAGAAGGAAUCUCCCUCUCUGAGGGAAUGUGAUGCUGUUAUAUUAGUCUGCUGGAGCUGCCAUAACAAAACACCUUCAAAUGCGCGGCUUACACAACAGAAAUUCAUUGUCUCAUGAAUCUGGAGGCGAGAAGUUCAAGAUCAACGUUCUGUGGUUCAAAGUAUAGACCCCGCUAUCAGGAUGCCUGGACUCAAAUCCUAGCUCUGCUCCUUACUCUCUGGGUGACCACAAAGAGAGACACAACGAGAGAUGGAACACAAGCAGGGGGAGUGGAAGAGGGAGAAGCAGCCUUUCCGCCAAGCAGGGAGCCCAAUGCGGGGCUCGAUCCCAGCAUGAUCUGAGCCGAAGGCAGACGCUUAAGGACGGAGCUGUCCAGGUGCCCCCUGGCUGGAGAUUUUUAACUGGCCAGUGACAGAAAGAAUAUUUGGCUCUGACAAGAUCAUGUGUUGCCGAGCAUAUGGUGUGCUGUAACCAUAAAAACCCAUCAAUACUGCAGGAAACAGUAGUCUUGGAGAAAGUCCAAGAAUCUGCACUUGGUGGUUCUGACAGGAUAUUUGGUCUACAUGCUUACACUUGGGGGAAGACUGAAUGUUGCUAGAAUUGAUUUCAAGGCCAAAAAUUCAGUAUCAAAGGUGGAGAUUCUUCUUUGAAUGGGAGAAAAAAGAAACCCAGCAGUCAUGUUAACAUAAGCAAUCUUGGUCAGCUGAGGUCGGGUUAAAUCAAAGCAAUUCUGUUUGUAAUGGUUGUCAACAACUUUUCUUAGCACCAUUCAUCAGGCUACUCACUGUAUUUAUUUUGCAUUUUUAUGUCAUAUUGUUUAUCUAAUUAUAAACCACAUCAUAAAUGAUAAUUAUUGAAAUAUAUUUGGCUCUUCCUGCUUUUCUUUUAAUCCUUUUCCAAGAAGAGACAUGAACUUUGGGAUUUUUCCUUCUCAGGGAAGUUUAUGUUUCAAUGUCAGGUGGAAAUUGCCUGAAGGCAACCUCCCUUUCUGGGUUUUGUUUUUGGAAAUAAAAAAUUAAGAGAUUUUUUUGAAAGAGGAAAGAGAGAUAGGUAUCCAGUUUUGGAGUGAGAGAGAAGAGGAAAGAGAAUGUUUAAUGCAAGAAGCAAACAGUAGUGAGAUUGUAACAUUUAGUGAUUGAGGGAGGGUACAGAACCUCAGAGGAGCUUGUGUGAGGGACUCUGGCCUCUAAGUCCCCUGCCCGAGGGGCACUAAAACUGUGGAGCAAUUUCCAAGGCCCAUAAAGUCACAGACAACUGUAAGCUACAGGGCGGCCAGCGUGGGCCAUUCAGCCCUGGAGUUUUCUAAAUGUUCUGCUUUGUCAUAAGACCUCAGAAGCUCUCAAAGAUCCUGGCUGGUAGUGGGGGAAGAUAGUGGGAAACAGAUAAUGGGUUCUAAAGAUGACUGUGAUUAACUUUCCUCUCAGAGUUAGAUUUAUUUGAUUUUUGAAAAAAUAAAGUUAGUGAUAUGUUUCAUUUCUUAACAUGGUACAGGAGGGUAGAUAUCGAUCAAAAAGGUAAGCUAUGAAAAGGAAAUUCACCAGGAAUGGUACAUAUUUAAAGUUCAUAAAAGCAGUUCCAAAC
rnacentral:lncRNA from 1 species